rnacentral:lncRNA from 1 species
GGGGGGGUUGGUGAAGAGUUUGUGAAUGCAAAUGACUGAAUGAAAAUGGAAAUUAAAUUAAACCGAACAUAAUUGAAAGCAUUAAAAUGGAUGGAAACCUUAACUGGACAUUGCAAUAGAUAAAUAUCGAGACAUAAUUAAAGCGAUGAACAUUCAACACUCAAUUAAAUCUACCAAAAGAAAUUAAAAUUGCAAAAAAAACUUCUA